rnacentral:rRNA from 1 species
UACGUAGGGCGCAAGCGUUGUCCGGAAUUAUUGGGCGUAAAGAGCUCGUAGGCGGCUUGUCGCGUCGAUUGUGAAAGCCCGGGGCUUAACCCCGGGUCUGCAUUCGAUACGGGCUAGCUAGAGUGUGGUAGGGGAGAUCGGAAUUCCUGGUGUAGCGGUGAAAUGCGCAGAUAUCAGGAGGAACACCGGUGGCGAAGGCGGUGGUCUGGGCCGGCACUGACGCUGAGGUGCGAAAGCGUGGGGAGCAAACAGG